rnacentral:sRNA from 1 species
CUCUAGACUCUUGGUAAGCGCGUUAGGGAUGGAAAUGGCAUCCUUUUUUUACGUUUUCUCAUACUUCCCGGUUUAUGCAACAAUCCUUAUUAUCGUAAAAAAAGAUAUAAUGGACAGCCCGCCUUUUU